rnacentral:rRNA from 1 species
CCUACGGGAGGCAGCAGUGAGGAAUAUUGGUCAAUGGACGAGAGUCUGAACCAGCCAAGUAGCGUGAAGGAUGACUGCCCUAUGGGUUGUAAACUUCUUUUAUAUGGGAAUAAAAUGUUCCACGUGUGGGAUUUUGUAUGUACCAUAUGAAUAAGGAUCGGCUAACUCCGUGCCAGCAGCCGCGGUAAUACGGAGGAUCCGAGCGUUAUCCGGAUUUAUUGGGUUUAAAGGGAGCGUAGGUGGAUUGUUAAGUCAGUUGUGAAAGUUUGCGGCUCAACCGUAAAAUUGCAGUUGAAACUGGCAGUCUUGAGUACGGUAGAGGUGGGCGGAAUUCGUGGUGUAGCGGUGAAAUGCUUAGAUAUCACGAAGAACUCCGAUUGCGAAGGCAGUUCACUAGACUGCAACUGACACUGAGGCUCGAAAGUGUGGGUAUCAAACAGGAUUAGAUACCCCUGUAGUC